rnacentral:rRNA from 1 species
AGCUCUAAUAGCGUAUAUUAAAGUUGUUGCGGUUAAAAAGCUCGUAGUUGAAUCUCGGCCCGGUCUCAGCGGGUCCGGUCCGCCCACUGGGUGUGUACUGGCCUGCCCGGGUCAUACCUGCCGGCUGCUCGCCGUGUUCUUUACUGAAUGCGGAGUAUUGAGUUCCGGCAUUUUUACUUUGAGUAAAUUAGAGUGUUCAAAGCAGGCAAAAUUUCAGCCACUGAAUACAUUAGCAUGGGAUAAUGGAAUAGGACUUUGGUUCUAUUUUGUUGGUUUCUAGGACCGAAGUAAUGAUUAACAGGGACAGUUGGGGGCAUUCGUAUUUAAUUGUCAGAGGUGAAAUUCUUGGAUUUGUGAAAGACGAACUACUGCGAAAGCAUUUGCCAAGGAUGUUUUCAUU